rnacentral:rRNA from 1 species
UACAGAGGGGGCAAGCGUUGUUCGGAAUUAUUGGGCGUAAAGAGCUCGUAGGUGGUUUGUCGCGUUGUUCGUGAAAACCGGGGGCUUAACCCUCGGCGUGCGGGCGAUACGGGCAGACUUGAGUACUGCAGGGGAGACUGGAAUUCCUGGUGUAGCGGUGGAAUGCGCAGAUAUCAGGAGGAACACCGGUGGCGAAGGCGGGUCUCUGGGCAGUAACUGACGCUGAGGAGCGAAAGCGUGGGGAGCGAACAGG